ensembl:lncRNA
GUUUGUAGAAAAGGGAAACACAGGCAAGGCUGGCAGCCUAGGUAAUGCUGGUCCCAGUGCAGUCUGGUGGAUGGAUGUCUGGGGCAGGCUCUGUGAGGCCCUGGAAGAGCCAUCAUAGCUGGAGGGGACAACUCAGUUUCCGGGAUGAGAGGAGAGCUCCUUCCAGAGGGAAAGCAUGGUUUCUGUCAUGGAGUCACUGCUCCUGCACCCAUCACGGGGCAUCUGCGAGGCCCUGCUUUCCUGGAACCCGAGGAGACCUUGACACUCCGCGCAUCGAGGCGCCUCUGCUUUGGGGCUACCCGUCAGGCUGGCUGAGGGCAUUGUUCCCCCGCGUUAUUGAUGCCUGAUGCGAAGGAGUUGGAGAGGAAGCUCUCCAGUGCUGAAAUGAACGUGGGCAUGCAGACACCUCUAGGAGGCGCUACUUCAUGCUCCUUGGGUACACAGCCAACAGGACUGCUAGAGCACAGGUAACGGAAGGGAAGGGGAUCCCACCCUCACUCGGUUCUGCUUUGUUUCCUGUCCGAAUGUGAGCAGCUUUUCUCUUGUCCAUUAAAGAAGAAAACUUAGAAAGAUGAAGUAGACCCCAAGGAGCCGCCUUCAUUUGUUUUGUUUUGUCUUGUUUGGUCAAAGCAAGUCACAGAACCAGAUCCAUGGGAUCAAGAAACGGACUUCCUCCCUCGAGAUGGGCUGCAAAGUCAGACUCCAAGGAUAUGAGUUGGGCAACAACUGUGGCCAUUUUUGUAAACAAGACCCCGCCCCUAGAGCAGCUCCUCAACCAUUCUGCAAGAGCCCCCUGAGCUGGGGAUGGGGAGAUGGUAUCAUCGUGACACCUUCAAAGCCAAGGAACUGUAGGUGGUGACAGGACUCACCCAAAGGUGCACAGCCACUCGGAGAGCAGGAACCUUCCCAAAUGCCAUGAAUCAAAAGCAAAGGCAACAGGGUGCCCGGGGAGGGUGGACAGAGGAUAUCUUUCCAGGCGGGCAGUGAAGGAAAUUCUGGAAGGGACCCUCCCCAGAGCUGUAACUGCUGCCUGUGGCCAGGGUGGGCUUUCCGGCUGGCUCAGUGGUUUGGGCAGCAUCAGAAGGCAUUUCUCGUUUCACCAAUUUGUUUUUUCGACCACUGUCUUCCACCUUACAAACGUGUUCAUAGCUAACACUCUGGCUGCUGCUCCCCGGGGAACCAAGGACACCCUUAGAAUCAGUCCCUGCAGGUGCACUGGACAAUCCAACCAGGCUGGGUCAGGCUGCCAGAUACACCUCUCAUCUCUCCGGAUGGUGACUGACCACUGGUGGUCACCCCACCCCCGGGCAGUGGCUGGUGUCCCUUGAAGGCCACACCUGGCUGCCUGGCCCAGGUAGAUGAGAGUGUGGCACUCAGGCUUCUUCUCACUUUUUAUCAACUGACCUUGGCAGGACGUCUGACGCCAUACGAGGGGUCAGUCCGGGGUGGCAUGGUGGCCAACAGCCCCUGGAGGUGUGGUGACAACUACUGAGUUGCAGCACAACUACUGAGGGCGGAAGGGGGAGCUACCAGCACCUAGAGGUGGUGGAACCUCGUUCUCCCCAAGGAGGACUCAGCAGGACUCAGUGCAGCACCCAUCAGCUGACCCAGGACCAGGAAGCCCAGCUGGCAUCUGGAAAUGGUCUGGGCUCAUUCUGGGUCACCACAGUGAGGCGCAAACAACUGGCGUUUCGGAGGGACAGGAAGCCAGUGAUGCAGAACCUGAGUCACCCUGGAGCCAGAGAAGCAAUUGGGGGAAGCUUAAGGGACCUUCGUCAUCACCGAGCGUGUGACCUUCCCUGUGUGCGUUUUACAGGCAAGGAAACUGAGGCACAGAGAGGGUGAGGUACCUCCUCUAGGAAGGGGGUCUCAACCCUGCACUACUGACCUCUGGGACCACAGUAAGUCUUUGGGGGCGAAGGACAAGCACAGGGUCUGUGCUUCAUAGAACGAGUCCAGCACCCCAGGCCCUAGCCACAAGAUGCCAGCAAAGCCCCCCUUCUAGCCAGGCACCCCCUGUGCCCGAGCCACCCCCAGUGGAGAACACGGCUCCACUUCAAGCAACCGGUUCCUAGUGGAGCUGGACCUCCAGCCAGGCCACCCAUCCCUGAGCCAUGGCCUCUGGUCUCCCACGACAGCAAUCCAGAGAGGACAGGGCCAACCGCUCCCUCAGACACUGGGAAUCGGAGAAGAAAAAGGAGACAUAGCAGAGAGGCAGGUGGAGAGCUGAUAUUUGAUCAGUGCAUUCUGGAAAGAACUGCAAUUUUAUUUUAGUAGAUUGAUUCUUUUCCAUCACAUCUACAAUACUCAAAGCGACCAGAAAACAGAAAAUGAUGAGUCCAUCAUCUUCCUCCAAUGCAUCCCCAAAUCUCGCUCUGCGUGGAUUGGGCAGACAUACUUUUGCAGAGUAUUUCAGGGCUCAACUAGUCUUGCCUGCUGGGCUCUCCUGUGCUGGGAUUAACUGGCAAUGCCUUGGGUUUGCACUUCACAGAUAUCUAUCUCCCCAAGUAUGGCCUAGGAAGGCAGUUACCCCUUCCUUAGGCAGGGCCAAAGAAGCUCAGAGUGCGUGCAAGGCCAGGCAGCAGCAGAGCUCAGGUCACCAGUGGAAGUGGCUCCCCUCCAAGGGCCUGAGAGCCACAGAGACACUGCCCCAACCUAUCAUGGCUCGGGCUGGGCGGCCCCUCUUGCUUUUUCUCAUGAAGAUCCCCCUCCAGGGAGAUGCAGGGACAAAGGUACAGGCAGGGGCUGCACUGUUACCUGCUUUUGAAAUGUUCCUGCAGCUGGGGCAGUAGGAGGGGUCCUCACAAGCUCAAGAAGUAUCCUAGAAAAAGCACUGGACCUCUCUGAAGUCAAAGUUUUCGACUCAGAUUCCUGGUUGUAGGGUUUCAAGCAAGUCAUUUUCAAGUCUGCCCUGUAUGGUUGUGUGGGUAGCUGACUGCACAAAGCACAGAUUAGAGGCUGAAGUCUGGUCUGUAGCUUGCUCACUAAGCCAUGCUUGGAACAGGGCUGUGUCACCCCAGAGAAAAGGUCACAUUUUUCUAAUUCUCAUAACAAUACUAGAUGAGCCAGCAGCAGUUCUGAUAUCUCUUUUCUUUUCCUGCGGGGGGGACACAUUUGGUACAUUUGGACCCCCAUUUUUUUAUGUGACCUCUGUGAACUAGGAGGACCUCCCGGAACCUGUCCUCAGGAAUUCUAGAUCUCUUUCCUUCUCAUCUGUUAUUAUUAUCUUUUCCCUUUUCUCUCUUAAAAAACAAAAGGGUUUGGGGAUGGAGCGGUGUGGAAUGAACUCAUCCCAGACAGGUCAGUUUCCCAGCUGGCCAGGAGGAAGGCUGGGCCCAAACUGGUUCGGAACUCAGAAAAGCCAGGUGUGGAGGUGAUGUCCGUAAUCCCAGCACUUGGGGGGCUGAGGCAGGAGGAUCACAUACAAUCACUGCAAUUUUGCAGCGCAAUUACUCUGACAUAAUGAGACCCUGCCUCAAAAAACAAAGGAAAAAAAGAGAGAAGUGCGCUAGACUAAUGAGGACAGCUCCAUGGCUGCUCUGGAGAUGCCGGGAGCAAGGACCACGCAACGGUGCUCAGAGACCAUGGCUUUCUCAGUGCAGGAGUCUGACCAGAGAGGCGGAUUGGCUGAGUUUGGGUCACGCCCAAUUCACACUUCCGGUAGGGGACUUUGAUUGACAGCUCCUUCCGCAAUGCAUACAAAGGCCACCAAAGUGUCAGUCAGAGGAGGUACAGACACGGGAAAUGGGAAGCAUCCAGCAUUUGCUCCGUUCCUUUCUUAUUUUAUUUUUUAUUGGAACAUGUAUGUGAUACCUAAUGAACCUGUUGAUCUUGGGAACUGAUACAUAGUGCAUCUUAAUCUUUUUCAAUUCCCCUUCCCCUCUCCUCCUUCCAUCCCUACAUCCCCUCUCCAUCUGCAAACGGUCUCCCUCCCUGUUUCCUAUCAUGUCUUAUAUUCCUCUUUAAAUUGUUUAAACUUUAGGUUUCUCAUAUAAGAGAAACCAUGUGAUAGUUAUCCUUCCUGUGUCUGAUUCCUGUGUCGGCAUUAUGGUCUUGAGAUGCAUCCAUUUUCCUGCAAAUGACUCAAAUUUAUCCCUCUUUAUGGCCAAGUAGUACUCCACUGUGUAUAUAUACACCGCAUUUUCUCUGUCCGUUGAUGGACAGAAUUUCUAAGAUGUAACUGUUUACUCUAUCCUUUAAAAGCCACAUCCGGACCAGAUUUCCAACUAACAGGAUCCCAUGUCGUUCUUUCCUCUGACUUCCAUUCCCAUUCAGGCCCUGGUUUUGGUUCAUCUCUGAAGGCCUCUGUGCCACCUAACAUUCUGACCACACACAGCCCACACGACAGUGGACCGUCCCUGCCCUCACUGGGAGCCACAGAGAAACUGUGUCUGCAGAAGUAAAGGAGACUUAGAGUCCCACAGACCCAAGCAGAGUCCAAGGUCAAAGGGUUGACAACAGAGAGACACCAGGAAUCUUGGCAACACCCCGGGCCAGACAGCUCUUCAUCUGGAAGGACUCCGGAGGGACCCUCGCUCAUCUCUUGGCCCAGCUCCCCUGCUGCAGGUUCCUCAGGACUUCACCUCCUAGAGCCGUGGCUUCAUUAAUACAACCACUCCAAAAACACAAGGAGCCCUCGCUAAAAGGAUUCACCCCACCAGCUGGGGGGAACAGCAAGGCCCCUGAGGCAGGGAGGGAGAGGACAACAGAGAGUGUGGGGGAGCCUCUAUGAAAACGGGGCAAGUGUUGGCCAGGAAUCCUGGGAGGUUCCUCCACAGAAUGCCAGACACACAGACAAGAAGAGACCAUGAAUGCCCAGGGCAGCAGCUGCGGGGGAGAAGCGGGUUCCUGGGAGGUCACCCCAGAGCAGAAGCUGCAGAAUGGAACUGCAGCCCUGUGGCUCGCACCGCCUGUGGACGACCCAGUGGGCAGAUGCAAAACAUCACAAGGGCUGUCACCCACGUGGGGAGCCAUCUCCGGGCCCCAGGGACGGCCACCAAUCAGCAGGAUUCCGUGGGGACUUAAGUUCCCAAAUGGUUUUAUGUGACAGAGAGGGUUGGGGUGGGGGAGAAACCCCUCAAAGUCCCCCACAUCCUCACUGAAAAAACCAGAUCCAUGUGCUGUAACUUGUUCUAGGGUCGGGAAAGGAGCGGUUGUUGGUAUCCUGUAUGUAAUCAAUGAACUAUUUCUCAUCUCCCUCAAAAUCAGUCUCAGCUAUCUCCUGAUGUCCAUGUGUCUUUGUGUCUGUGUGUUUUUAUGAGGAGAACAGGGGACAAGGAUUCUCGUCUUCCUAACUUGGAACAAAGAUGCAAACAACUGUGGCCGUGUCAAUAUGCACGCUCGAUGACGUGCUUUACCCUCUUAUCAUCCUCUAAAUCGCAGGACAAAGAAUUUCUUCCAGAUGAAUUUUAGCUCUGCUACUAAGCCACACAACUUCUCCAGAUCUCCUUUUCCUGCUCUGUAAAACGAACGGCUUAUAGUCCACACCCAACUGCCUCAGAAUCCUAAUGCAAAAAAACUCUUUGAUAUCAACAAGGAAAAAAAAUCCCACAUGGACCACAGUAUUUCGUCACUUCUCCCAGUGGCACAACACACACAAAUCAAAUCAAAAUAUAAAUCAUUGCACCCUGUUACGGGUCUCAUACAUAGUUUCUUUUAAU